rnacentral:rRNA from 1 species
AACGAACGCUGGCGGCAGGCUUAACACAUGCAAGUCGAACGGGUGUAGCAAUACAUCAGUGGCAGACGGGUGAGUAACACGUGGGAACCUUCCUAGGGGUACGGAACAACUCAGGGAAACUUGAGCUAAUACCGUAUAGGUCCGGGGGGAGAAAGAUUUAUCGCCCUUAGACGGGCCCGCGUCGGAUUAGCUAGUUGGUGGGGUAACGGCCUACCAAGGCGACGAUCCGUAGCUGAUCUUAGAGGAUGAUCAGCCACACUGGGACUGAGACACGGCCCAGACUCCUACGGGAGGCAGCAGUGGGGAAUCUUGGACAAUGGGCGCAAGCCUGAUCCAGCCAUGCCGCGUGAGUGAAGAAGGUCUUCGGAUUGUAAAGCUCUUUUGCCAGGGACGAUAAUGACGGUACCUGGAGAAUAAGCCCCGGCAAACUUCGUGCCAGCCGCCGCCGUAA